rnacentral:misc_RNA from 1 species
ACAAGAUCAACCGCGUCUCUUUCUAUUGGACUAAUGGGUGAAUGAGACCUAUGGUGUCGAUUGCAUUUGUUAUGAGUAAACUGAUUCAGAGCUUCCAUUCUCUUGGCUUUGCAACACGAUCCACAGAAAGAAUGCAGACAUGCCUUUUCAUUUAUUUAAAGUAAUACGCGAUAAUAUAUUUAUUGCCCAUGUUUUCUGUACUCUAAGCCUAGUUAAGAGUAUAUCAUUCGAUUAGAUUAUGACUCUUUGGAUAUUGUUUUGAUUAGUUUUUAAAAAA